rnacentral:rRNA from 1 species
AACGAACGCUUGCGGCGUGCCUAACACAUGCAAGUCGAACGAGAAAGUCUUGCUUGCAAGAUGAGUAAAGUGGCGCACGGGUGAGUAACGCGUGGGUAAUCUACCUUUGGGACAGGGAUAACACUCCGAAAGGGGUGCUAAUACCUGAUACGAUGCGAGCUUCACAAGGAGUUUGCAUGAAAGGUGACCUCUUCCUUGAAAGUUGCCGCUCGAAGAUGAGCCCGCGUCCCAUUAGCUUGUUGGUGGGGUAAUGGCCUACCAAGGCUCAGAUGGGUAGCUGGUCUGAGAGGAUGAUCAGCCACACUGGAACUGAGACACGGUCCAGACUCCUACGGGAGGCAGCAGUGGGGAAUAUUGCGCAAUGGGGGAAACCCUGACGCAGCAACGCCGCGUGAGUGAUGAAGGCCCUCGGGUCGUAAAGCUCUGUCAGGUGGGAAGAACAAGAGGAUCUCCAAUAAAGUUUCUCUUUGACGGUACCACCAGAGGAAGCACCGGCUAACUCCGUGCCAGCAGCCGCGGUAAUACGGAGGGUGCCAGCGUUGUUCGGA